rnacentral:rRNA from 1 species
GGCCUGCCCAAUGUUAUGAUAUAAAUGGCUGCGGUAUUUUAACUGCACAAAGGUAGCAUAAUUAAUUGUCUUUUAAUUGGUGACUUGUUUGAAUGGCUAUAUGAUGAAAAAUUUUUCUUUCAUACUAAAUAAAAUUAUAUAUUAAGGUUAAAAUACCUAAAUUAUAAAAAAAGACGAGAAGACCCUGUGAGCUAAAAGUAAAGAUACUGUUAAAUGGGAAAUUUAAUCUUUUUUUAACUUUUUGUAGAUCCUAUUUUGAAACGGAAAGAGGGUGAAGCUACCGCAGGGAUAACAGGACAAUAUUUAUUACGAGUUCAAAUCUAAAUAAAUGUUUGUUACCUCGAUGUUGAAUCGAAUAAUCUUUAUGGUGCAGCAACCAUGAAAAGUAG